AUUGAACGCUGGCGGCAGGCCUAACACAUGCAAGUCGAACGAGUGGCGGACGGGUGAGUAAUGUCUGGGAAACUGCCCGAUGGAGGGGGAUAACUACUGGAAACGGUAGCUAAUACCGCAUACCAUCGGAUGUGCCCAUAUGUUAUGAGCUAGUAGGUGGGGUAAAGGCUCACCUAGGCGACGAUACCUAGAUGGUCUGAUAGGAUGACCAGCCACACUGGAACUGGGACAAGGUCCAGACUCCUACGGGAGGCAGCAGUGGGGAAUAUUGCACAAUGGGCGCAAGCCUGAUGCAGCCAUGCCGCGUGUAUGAAGAAGGCCUUCGGGUUGUAAAGUACUUUCAGCGAGGAGGCGUUACUCGCAGAAGAAGCACCGGCUAACUCCGUGCCAGCAGCCGCGGUAAUAC
rnacentral:rRNA from 1 species